AUUGAACGCUGGCGGCAGGCCUAACACAUGCAAGUCGAGCGGAUGAAGGGAGCUUGCUCCUGGAUUCAGCGGCGGACGGGUGAGUAAUGCCUAGGAAUCUGCCUGGUAGUGGGGGAUAACGUCCGGAAACGGGCGCUAAUACCGCAUACGUCCUGAGGGAGAAAGUGGGGGAUCUUCGGACCUCACGCUAUCAGAUGAGCCUAGGUCGGAUUAGCUAGUUGGUGGGGUAAAGGCAUACCAAGGCGACGAUCCGUAACUGGUCUGAGAGGAUGAUCAGUCACACUGGAAGUGAGACACGGUCCAGACUCCUACGGGAGGCAGCAGUGGGGAAUAUUAGACUAUGGGAGAAAGCCUGAUCCAGCCAUGCCGCGCGUGGGAAGAAGGUCUUCGGAUCGUAAAGCACUUCAAGUUGGGAGGAAGGGCAGUAAGGUAAUACCUUGCUGUGUUGACGUUACCAACAGAAUAAGCACCGGCUAACUUCGUG
rnacentral:rRNA from 1 species